GAUGAACGCUGGCGGCGUGCCUAAUACAUGCCAGUCGAGCGAACAGACGAGGAGCUUGCUCCUCUGACGUUAGCGGCGGACGGGUGAGUAACACGUGGAUAACCUACCUAUAAGACUGGGAUAACUUCGGGAAACCGGAGCUAAUACCGGAUAAUAUAUUGAACCGCAUGGUUCAAUAGUGAAAGACGGUUUUGCUGUCACUUAUAGCUGGAUCCGCGCCGCAUUAGCUAGUUGGUAAGGUAACGGCUUACCAAGGCAACGAUGCGUAGCCGACCUGAGAGGGUGAUCGGACACCCUGGAAGUGAGACACGGUACAGACUCCUACGGGAGGAAGCAGUAGGGAAUCUUACGCAAUGGGCGAAAGCCUGACGGAGCAACGCCGCGUGAGGGAUGAAGGUCUACGGAUCGGAAAGCUCUGUUAUUAGGGAAGAACAAAUGUGUAAGUAACUAUGCACGUAUUGACGGUACCUAAUCAGAAAGCCACGGCUAACUACGUG
rnacentral:rRNA from 1 species